AUUGAACGCUGGCGGCAUGCCUUACACAUGCAAGUCGAACGGCAGCACGGGUGCUUGCUCCUGGUGGCGAGUGGCGAACGGGUGAGUAAUACAUCGGAACAUGUCCUGUCGUGGGGGAUAGCCCGGCGAAAGCCGGAUUAAUACCGCAUACGAUCUACGGAUGAAAUCGGGGGACCUUCGGGCCUCGCGCUAUAGGGUUGGCCGAUGGCCGAUUAGCUAGUUGGUGGGGUAAAGGCCUACCAAGGCGACGAUCAGUAGCUGGUCUGAGAGGACGACCAGCCACACUGGGACUGAGACACGGCCCAGAAUCCUACGGGAGGCAGCAGUGGGGAAUUUUGGACAAUGGGCGAAAGCCUGAUCCAGCAAUGCCGCGUGUGUGAAGAAGGCCUUCGGGUUGUAAAGCACUUUUGUCCGGAAAGAAAUCCUUGGCCCUAAUACGGUCGGGGGAUGACGGUACCGGAAGAAUAAGCACCGGCUAACUACGUG
rnacentral:rRNA from 1 species